GAGUGUGAAUAUCAAAUUGGCAAGGUUGCACAUUGAACUGGGCUUGAAACUGAGCUCUGCAGGUUUGAUUUACUAACACUCAUAUACCCUUUAAUUUUUCUUGUACACUACCGAUGUGAGACUUAUUCUCACAAGUCAUAUUUCAACACUCCCCCUCAAGUGCAAUUGGGUUCAGCUCAGGCUCAUAGGGGUUCACUAGCCUAGUUUCCACUUGCCAUUGCAUGUGGUGACCAAUCUAACUUGGGUUUGGCUCGUCUUGGCCUUUCCCUUGAGGUCUAGCUCGUCUUGACCAAUGUAUAUUUUUUUCUAUUUUUAUGGAAAAGCACAUUGAAAAUUAAUAGUUUGACUGAUCACAUGUAAGCAAAUAAUGAGGAAAUAAUGAGAAAAUGCUGAACAAAAGUGAAAAAUUCAAAGCUCAAGAAAUUACAACUGUUCCAAAAUUCUAGAAAGCAUAAGAAAUUUUUGAGGAUCAUCUACCCAAGCAAACGCCAAGAAAUAUUAAAGUAAAAGAUACUUACAAACGUGUAAUAAAGAAUUUUGUUUGCUUAACAGAUCCUUCUGUGAGAACAGAUCCUUUUGCCACAUCCAAUCCCAAAUCUUUCAAG
rnacentral:misc_RNA from 1 species